AGAAAAAACAUCAAGAAGAGAUAAUGAAAAACAAUAAAAUAAAACAAAACCUGAAAGUUUUUCUAUAUGAAGUUAAUUUCAGACAUUCUUUUAGGCAGCUUUGCAUUGAGAGGUUAGUUUGUGAACUAAUCCCCAUUUACUGUUUAUUUUCAGACCGUUGGUAUCCCCAGGGAAGAGAGCCAAGCAUCCGUGUGAUCAGCCUUUCUCUGCUUAUGGAAUUGGUUCUCUCGUUAGAAGGAAGCACAGAUCAAGCAUUUUCUCUAUGCCAGCUUCCUACUUUCCUUAACAUCUGCCAAAUCCUCCUCUCAGGGCUCUCAACUGAACUGUAUCUAACACCUCCAUCAGAAUAGCAGGAUAUGAUGCCAACUGGCCAGCGAUUAAAGUAAGAAGACAGUUCUAUUGCCUAGCUUUGUUAAC
rnacentral:lncRNA from 1 species